rnacentral:miRNA from 1 species
UGAGUUGUCUGCAGACUCUUUGUACAGCUUGGGCCAGGCUCAGGGGAAUUAAAGGACAGCAAAGGGGGGCUCCAUAGUGA